UACGAAGGGGGGCUAGCGUUGUUCGGAAUCACUGGGCGUAAAGCGCACGCAGGCGGAUUGAUAAGUCAGGGGUGAAAUCCCGGAGCUCAACUUCGGAAUUGCCUUUGAUACUGUCUGUCUUCGAGUUCGGGAGAGGUUGGCGGAAUUCCUAGUGUAGAGGUGAAAUUCGUAGAUAUUAGGAAGAACACCAGUGGCGAAGGCGGCCAACUGGCC
rnacentral:rRNA from 1 species